AGUGAACGCUGGCGGUAGGCCUAACACAUGCAAGUCGAACGGCAGCACAGUAAGAGCUUGCUCUUACGGGUGGCGAGUGGCGGACGGGUGAGGAAUACAUCGGAAUCUACUUUUUCGUGGGGGAUAACGUAGGGAAACUUACGCUAAUACCGCAUACGACCUACGGGUGAAAGCAGGGGAUCUUCGGACCUUGCGCGAUUGAAUGAGCCGAUGUCGGAUUAGCUAGUUGGCGGGGUAAAGGCCCACCAAGGCGACGAUCCGUAGCUGGUCUGAGAGGAUGAUCAGCAACACUGGAACUGAGACACGUUCCAGACUCCUACGGGAGGCAGCAGUGGGUAAUCUUGGACAAUGGGCGCAAGCCUGAUCCAGCCAUACCGCGUGGGUGAAGAAGGCCUUCGGGUUGUAAAGCCCUUUUGUUGGGAAAGAAAAGCAGCAGGUUAAUACCCCGCUGUUCUGACGGUACCCAAAGAAUAAGCACCGGCUAACUUCGU
rnacentral:rRNA from 1 species